rnacentral:lncRNA from 1 species
AAAAAACCCAAACGGCGAACGCCGAAGGCAUAAUGGCGAACGUCAUUUGGCUGUUAUGUGCAUAGAUGUUAAAUUUCUACGAAUUCCUUUCAAUUAUCAUCCAAUUUCAUUCAUCCACUAUUUCACAAUUUCAUCAUACAUCAAUCUAAUCAGAGAUAAAACAAUGGUUAUCACUACCCAGUACAUAUUAUCAUAUAAUACCCUUUAACCGAUGAUAAACCCCCCUUACCUGAGUU